AUCUUGGUGGUCCAGUGGCUAAGACUCUUCACUCGCAAUGCAGGGAGCCUGGGUUCAAUCCCUGGUCAGGAGA
rnacentral:tRNA from 1 species